AUCUACUAGCUCAGGUUCACGUGUGGAGUAAUUUGCCGACAGACUCAGUUAUGGUGAAGCGGGAGUAUUACUAGCUUGGAUGAAAGGUUUUUCAUGUUAUUUAUGGAGCAGGGCUCAUCCCGGCUCAACGUCUUACCAUCAUCACCUGUUGCUGCGUCUCAGCCAUUGAACCCGUCUGAUGACUUCCCUGGUUCCAAGCUUGCUGAUGCACCAGAAGAGAAUAUUAAUGGGAAGCAUGAACCUGUGGUUGCUAACCCGUCAAAAGAGCCGACCCAUUCAUCAAAGCCCCUGCUCAUCCCACUUAUGUCUGUUCUAUGAAGAAGCCCCUUGGUGCAAAGAAGAUUGGUGGUAAGGCUGGAGGGCUCGGUGUAAAAAAGCUAACUACAAAGGUCCAAGGUUCUAAAAAUAUCAUAGUACCAUGGGCUAACCUUUGCCAUGGUGCCUCAAAGGCUCAGGUAAAAUCUGUGUUAGAUUGCAGUGCUACAAUUUUUUUUAAAGUUGUAACCAGGUCUGCUACAGUACAUCUAGUUCUAUUAGUAUCCAUUUUGACAGUGAGUGCAAAAUCUUGCAGAUAGAGUUUUUCUUUCCAAGUAAUACAAAUUGAUUAAAAUAAAAUAAAAUUGUUCUUCUACUCUGUAUGAAAUCCUUUUUUUUUUCUUCGGAGAAUACUACGAACAUGCCUUUUUUUUCUUCCCACUGAAAUUAAUUUUAAAAGAAAAAAAUGCAUUGCAUAGCACAAUGCUUUGUGGCCAGCAAUGGAUUGUGUGCAAUAUUGAUUACCUAUUCUUGUGAUGGAGCAUGUGGGAAGAAACCACGAAAGGGUCAAAGGAUAAGUAGAUGUGAUAUUAUGUCAUUCCUUCUUCUUAGCGAUGUUAUCUACUAGCUCAGGUC